GACGAACGCUGGCGGCGUGCCUAAUACAUGCAAGUCGAACGAGAGCGACCGGUGCUUGCACUGGUCAAUCUAGUGGCGAACGGGUGAGUAACACGUGGGUAACCUGCCCAUCAGAGGGGGAUAACAUCCGGAAACGGAUGCUAAAACCGCAUAGGUCUUCGAGCCGCAUGGCUUGAAGAGGAAAAGAGGCGCAAGCUUCUGCUGAUGGAUGGACCCGCGGUGCAUUAGCUAGUUGGUGAGGUAACGGCUCACCAAGGCCGUGAUGCAUAGCCGACCUGAGAGGGUGAUCGGCCACAUUGGGACUGAGACACGGCCCAAACUCCUACGGGAGGCAGCAGUAGGGAAUCUUCCGCAAUGGACGCAAGUCUGACGGAGCAACGCCGCGUGAGUGAAGAAGGUUUUCGGAUCGUAAAACUCUGUUGUUAGAGAAGAACAAGUGCUAGAGUAACUGUUAGCGCCUUGACGGUAUCUAACCAGAAAGCCGCGGCUAACUACGUG
rnacentral:rRNA from 1 species